rnacentral:tRNA from 1 species
GGGCCUCUAGCUCAAUUGGUAGAGCACCGGACUUUUAAUCCGUUGGUUGUGGGUUCGAGACCCACGGGGCCCA